ensembl:lncRNA
GGAGGAGGGGGGGGGGGGGUCGUGAAAUGCGAUUGGUGGCUGCGAGGUGACGAGGCCGGAGGGCCGCGGUGGGCCGGGGGGGCGCGGAGGGUCAGGUAUCUGUGUUUGUGGGUCUAUGGACUCGCCGCGCUCGAUCCUCCGCGUGCGCGCCGGCCUGUGGAAACCGAUUCCCCCGCCCACGAGGCCCCCGGGAGGGGGGAGGGUCAUCUUCAAAUACUGCAGUGGCGUUCACUCUCUUCUCCUCCCACUCCGGCAGAAAGAAGUGAAAGAAGAAUAAAGAUCUUCCCAAAGGGUCCCGUGUCCGUCAGGAAACACAAAAUACAUUAAAAGUACCUCACUUUACUCACCGAAUACUGCAUUAUUCUUUUGAGGAAUAACCCGGCAGAAAUAAUUAAACAUAUGGCUUUGCAAACUAACGUGUGAGCUCGUCACUGAGCAGUACCAGGAAUACAUAAGCUCACCUUUCUUACACGCUGUCUUUGCCGUUUCGUAUAUUCUUGUACAAGUACGAGUACUUUUCUUAGUGUCCCACUAGCGCAAUAUGCGUUUAAUGCAUUGGUGCAGCACUUUGCUGGCGCCCGCGGCGGCUCGGCUGCACUCGUCUGCGUUGCCCUUCGCGUUGUGAAAGGCGCGAUGUCUUCAUCGCGGCGAGGAGAGGUGGAGCAAAUGGAGAGAGAACAGAGAAAAUAUGACAAUGCUCACAUGAAAGGGAGGCCUUUCAAACUCAGGGGGAGACAUGAAAGAGUCUCUCUCCUCUGCUUCCUCUUGUUCUCGCUCUCCCCCUCCCUCCCUCCCCCUCCCCCUCCCUCCCCUGCUUCCUCUCGGCCUCGUAAUUGUACAUUCAGACUCAAACUGUGAAUGCUAACAAGGCUUUUAGCGUCGCUGAAUUAAUGCAUCCACUGCAUUUCACUAAUGCGUUACCUUUCAAAUGUCACCUUUUAUGUUGUUGCCGUGAAUACAUCUCAGCCACGCCGCAUUCAUUUUUUUCGGGUUGUUCGUGUAAAAUUGCCUUUCGGCGGCUUUUGCAAAGUUCACGCGGUGAUAAGACAUCGUGUUCCGCUGCUGCUGGAAGCAGACCGGUGCUCAUUGAGUCGGAUCCACUGUAAAUAAACAGACAAUUUGUGUGUGAAGACAUUAUUUAAUUAGAGCAAAUUUACCAACAGUGUUUUUAAUUAAUCUCAAAAUGAGAGGCUUUUGAGGCUCUACGGUCAUAAUACUGUGUGAAUGAGUUGGGUAAAUAUUACACAAACCAAAGCAACUAAACGUACACGGUGUGGACGGAGGUUUGGCCUUUUUCUCUGGCGUUUUUUCCUCAAAGCUGAGAAAAACUCAUUUCACUGCCGGCGGAUGGUGACCUACACUCCCCGCCGUACCUGAACGCAUCCUUUGCAGAGAGGUGAGGCGGAUGAUGCUGCGUCUUUGCGUGAGAACGCUCCGUCGGCUGGGGAUUUGUUCAAAAAGCUGAACCGCAAAGCGAAAACAAAUAGUCGGUCGCAGCGACGGUUUCGACGUUUUUCAAACCGAGAGGUGAGCUGGCGAAAGAUGAAGGGCGGGGGAAAGAAAAGAAGAAGAAGAAGAAGAAGAAGACGAAGAAGAAAAAGAAGAAGAAGAAGAAGAAGAAGAAGAAGAAGCAGCAGCAUGUUUUAAUCUUUUGAUCCCUUCACUUCCCAUCAGGUCUCAUAUCAAACAAAUUACCCAGAACGCACCCCUGCACACAUCAGUUUCAUUACCCAUUUGCCCCCCCCCCCCCAAAGACACGGGCUAAACAGCACUGUCUGUGGGGAGAUGGAGAAUCAACACCGUAAUGAGACACUGAUGAUGAGCUCCGUGUGUGUGUGUGUCUGUGUGUGUGUGUGUGUGUGUGUGUGUGUGUAGGUGUGUAGGUGUAUGCUACGUGUUGUCUAAGUGCUUUGCUGGGAAUUCGCUUGCUGGGUUCAGAGUUUAAAUUAAGCUCUGACUCGGGGGAGCUGCCGCGGACUUCGGGUGCAUGACAAACACGCACAAUAUGAUUUAUUCCUGACGCCUUUAUCAGUUCGUAACGGAGGCACAUUUGCAUGAGAUGUUUGGGCGGUUUGAGCUCCUGGAUUUCCCUGCAGCCCAAGCAGGCACUUGACUGCUGCUUCCUUGUAUGAUGUUGUAUUUUGGUUUUAAGGAAAGGAUGAAUUAGGCUUCUGAUGUGACGGUGAAGGAAAACUAUUCAAACCUCCACAGCGUCCCCGGAUUGGGUCGCAUUUCCUGCAGCUCCAUGCAGGUAAACUCACGGCCUUUGGUUUGAUUCUUCUUCUUCGUAUCAACAACAUCCAACAUUUUCCAGGUAUCAAGUCACAAGCAGCUCACAGCCUCCUCCAUUCUCCAUUGUGCUCCGUACAAGCCCGUCAUUGUCCGCGCGGCGACAGGGGGACCUCGGGUGUCAACGCCAGCGGCGCGCGGCAGCGGUUCGUUACGUCUGGCCGAGGGGGGUCGGUCAAAGGGGAGGGGUCGGAGGUCAGGGAACAGUCGCCAUUAAAGGAGUCUCCUCUGUCAACACGUUUGUGUAUAGCAGGGAGAGAGAUAGCCUUUGCCCGUCGCUACUCCCUUCACUUUGUCAUGUAAUGUGAUGCACGGAGCACAUGUUGAACACAUGGAGAGAAAUGAAUGGGAACGGGAGUGAUGGCGACGGAGAUGAAAUACUUAACGUGCACGUCCUUGUUUCUCUCACAGCACCUCAGACAUUUCAUUCCGAAAAUAAACUUUUUCAAUUUUUAUCUUCAUUGUUCGCAAAAAAUGACAUAAUCACGACCAGCAGGUGACGUUUGGAUCGUGGGGAUCUAAAAGGUUGGAAGCGUUCGUCAUUUUAAGAUGUUGUAGGAUUAGUCACGUUGGCAGGAACGUUGAGCCUGGACCUUCAUUUUGGAAACGGCACCUAAUAAAACGAUCUCCGCUCGAGGGCCACUUACUCAGCUGGAAAGGACCAAGCGUUCGCCCUCAUCAUCAACAGAUGAUAUUUCUCUGGUUGUCCUGGCGAUUUACACUUGUUCCGAGGCAGACUCGAGAGGCCCAGGUCCACUCCGAAGUUGUGCUCCGCCGCAUCUCGACUAUCGUGUAAAGCUGCGGCUGAGGCCGCGCUUGUGAAAGGAACGAUGUCAAUGAGAGCGGAUGGUUUAAAUGCGCGGAGUGGAGAGGAACGUUCGGAGCACUCAGUCGGAACAGCGUCUCCAGAGGGGAAAGGUCCUGGUUUUGUUGGAGCCGUCCACCUCCCAUCCGGCCCCAGCGUAAGUGGCCUUUUGUCAUAAUUAUUCACAAAAAAAAAGGAUCCUGCUUGAAUUUCCACAGGUAUCAGUGUCGAGCGCGGCAGGGAAAACGAGAGAAUAACCCGUUGUCCCUGUACGCCGGACCAAGAGAUUAGGUUUCAAGAAUUAACAUGACACUGGGCUUGAGUGGCCCGACCACUGAGGCUCUGACUGAGGUGAGUGGACGGAGUGAGGAGGGAAGGGAAGGAAAAGCGACAACCUUGUGCCUCGCUCGUUGCUGUCGGCACAGUGAUUUCGUUUAGUCGUGCCGUCGCACCUGAGGCUUAAGCUCGUCCAUCACAGGUGCUGCAGCACCGUCCAUCCCGCCCUCUUCUCCACAUUUCUACAUGGAUCCGGUCUUUGCGGCGGCUGUGGAUCCUUUCCGGUUUGCGUUCAUGUGCUUGUUCAUUAGCAGGUCUACAUGUUCUGCUGGUGCGGGUUCACCUCUGCGCCUCCGUGGUCCGGUCCAGUCAGCACCCAGCGGAGGUUUGGCACAGCAAAGAGAGAAGUAUCCACCACUGAACGGAACGUAAGAGAACACUGGAUGGAAGGUGGAUCUCGGCAAGCUGACGGAAGGGUUCCACCGUGAAUCGUACACGAGUUCUGUGACUCAAACACAACUGAACCUUAGUCCUGCGUUGGGGGAAGCGGUGAUAAUUAACCUCAGUAGUACCUCCGUUUACCGUAGGAACCCUUCUUAGGUACGCUGGGGCGGUGCACGGCGCUCUCCGGAUCAGAAGCAGGAGGAGGAGAACAAGCAGGAGGAGGAGAACAAGCAGGAGGAGGAGAACGAGCAGGAGAGAGGAGAAGAAGCAGGAGGAGGAGAACGAGUAGGAGGAGAAGAAGCAGGAGGAGGAAAACAAGCAGGAGGAGGAGAAGAAGCAGGAGGAGGAGAACGAGUAGGAGGAGGAGAAGAAGCAGGAGGAGGAAAACAAGCAGGAGGAGGAGAACGAGUAGGAGGAGGAGAAGAAGCAGGAGGAGAACGAGCAGGAGAGAGGCGAACAAGCAGGAGGAGGAGAACGAGCAGGAGAGAGGAGAAGAAGCAGGAGGAGAAGAAGCAGGAGGAGUAGAAUGAGCAGGAGGAGGAGAAGAAGCAGGAGGAGGAGAACGAGCAGGAGGAGGAGAAGAAGCAGGGGGAGAACAAGCAGGAGGAGAAGAAGCAGGAGGAGGAGAACGAGCAGGAGGAGGAGAAGAAGCAGGAGGAGAAGAAGCAGGAGGAGGAGAAGAAGCAGGAGGAGGAGAACGAGCAGGAGAGAGGAGAAGAAGCAGGAGGGGGAGAACGAGUAGGAGGAGGAGAAGAAGCAGGAGGAGGAGAACGAGCAGGAGGAGGAGAAGAAGCAGGAGGAGAAGAAGCAGGAGGAGGAGAAGAAGCAGGAGGAGGAGAACGAGCAGGAGAGAGGAGAAGAAGCAGGAGGGGGAGAACGAGUAGGAGGAGGAGAAGAAGCAGGAGGAGGAGAACGAGCAGGAGGAGGAGAAGAAGCAGGGGGAGAAGAAGCAGGAGGAGGAGAACGCUGGGACGCUGCACGGCGCUCUGCUGGAGGUCGUUCCUCUGGCGAAUUGGCAAAUAAAGUUCCAUUUCGCUGAGUUGAAUUAUCCUGUGACCAAGCCAGUGAGUAGAACUGGUUUUGAUCCCAGGGUCAGUGGGCGAAUAGCCUGUUACUGGGUGCGGUAACGUAGUUGUGUAUCGUAGUUCAGUACUAGCACACUUUCUCACACACAACUCGGUGGUUUCGCGUGGCGUAAUCUCGUACGACUCCGCGUCCGCCGUCUCACUUCUUCCCCAACGCGCACACGGCGCGCGAUUACAACCAUCUUCCUUGGGACAACGAGGCGGAUUCACUGCGGUGUUUUUACUGGCUUUUUCGCGCUCAACCCGUGACCCAUUGUGCCGCCGACUCAAGCUGCGUGUUGACGAAAACGAACCAGCAGGCUGGAGCCGCCGAAGGAUUGUUCCUCGUCUGAAGAAGAGGUGCGAACGCGGCGCAGAUGGGACGUCGCCGUCGCGUCCAGACGGAACGUUGCGUUUCCCGAAAAGUGAACUAAAUAUAAGUUUGAGUUACAAACACAAAGGCGACUGGUGAUGUACUGCAGCAACAUGCCGACGCCUGACAGGUAGAUUAUAUUUAUCUUGGUUGAGCUAAUUUCCCACACAACUCCGGAAGUGGAGCUCAUGGUCGCCAGGGUCAAAGUGUGAUUCGUCCUCUGGUGACCUGUGAACGGCGCGUUUAAAAAACCCGCUCUUGCCAUUUGACGCCUGUAAUAUGAACCGUAAUGUUCAUUGAAUGUUUCAUUAUUUGAUGCAGCUCACUUACUUUGCGUGCGUUAAAUACGAUCUUCACAACGGGGGAGAGAGAUAUUGAUGAAAUGUCUGGAACCCUUUGAUCGUCCCAUUAACCCGUCUGGCGCGUAAGUGAUUCUUAAUUAGCAAACACUCCCCAGGCGAAAACAACACAGAACCUGUGUGUGUCUGUAUGCGCGCGUGUGUGUGUGUGUGUGUGUGUGUGUGUGUGUGUUUAAAUGGUUUGAAUAGCAGGCCGGCCGGCAGGAUCAUGACCCGGUGACUCUGGCAGAGAGAAGCGCCGUCCUGCCGGCGGAAACACGUCUCCUCAGGAACCGCUCGAUGAAGCAAAUGAAGGAUCUACUUCCUGAAUCCUUCCAACAGAGACGCAGCAGAGCCCUUCACCCCGCCAAAAUAAAACGUAAAUACGCAGGAGACAAAGAGACACCGUCAGUGCGGAACGCUCGCUGAGCCGAGGCGAAGGGGUUCUCGGACUGGAAUUAGACUUUCAUCUGGACGGGACGGGGGGGGGAUUUUUCUUUUCGGUUUAAACAAAUCGUAUUAUUCACUUCGCUUUUUUUUUUCUCUUAGGUGAAGUGGAGAUGAAAGACAUGUUAGUGUUGCAGUAAGUGAAAAAAAUAAAUCUCCAUCACCUC